GACGAAGGUGGCGACCGUUGUUCGGAAUUACUGGGCAUAAAGCGCACGUAGGCGGCAAUGUAAGUCAGGUGUGAAAGCCCCCGGCCCAACCGGGGAAUUGCGCUUGAUACUGUGUUGCUUGAGGGCAGGAGGGGACCGUGGAAUUCCUGGUGGAGCGGUGAAAUGCGUUGAUAUCAGGAGGAACACCGGCGGCGAAGGCGACGGUCUGGCCUGCUUCUGACGCUGAGGUGCGAAAGCCAGGGGAGCAAACGGG
rnacentral:rRNA from 1 species